rnacentral:rRNA from 1 species
GACGAACGCUGGCGGCGUGCUUAACACAUGCAAGUCGAACGGAACGGCCCUGCUUUUGUGGGGUGCGCGAGGGGCGAACGGGUGAGUAACACGUGAGUAACCUGCCCUUGACUUUGGGAUAACUUCAGGAAACUGGGGCUAAUCCCGGAUAGGAGCUCCUGCUGCAUGGUGGGGGUUGGAUAGUUUCGGCGGUUGGGGAUGGACUCGCGGCUUAUCAGCUUGUUGGGUGGGUAGUGGCUUACCAAGGCUUGGACGGGUAGCCGGGCUGAGAGGGUGACCGGCUCAACUGGGAUGGAGCUGCGGCACAGCCCCGUACGGGAGGCAGGAGUGGAGAAUAUUGUAUAAGGGGAGGGAGGCUGGUGCGACCAAGCAGCGCGGGGGAUGUGGGGAAUCGGGUAGUGAAGUGAAGCUGCCUGUGACGAAGCGUGAGUGACGGUAAUGGGUAAAGAAGCACCGGCUAACUACGUG